rnacentral:rRNA from 1 species
CCUACGGGAGGCAGCAGUGGGGAAUAUUGCACAAUGGGGGAAACCCUGAUGCAGCAACGCCGCGUGGGUGAAGGAGCGUUUCGGCGCGUAAAGCCCUGUCAGCGGGGAAGAAGAAAGACGGUACCCGACCAAGAAGCCCCGGCUAACUACGGGCCAGCAGCCGCGGUAAUACGUAGGGGGCGAGCGUUAUCCGGAAUUACUGGGUGUAAAGGGAGCGUAGACGGGGAGGUAAGCCUGGAGUGGAAGACCGGGGCCCAACCGCGGAAGUGCUUUGGAAACUGUUUUGCUUGAGUAUGUGAGGGGUAAGCGGAAUGCGUGGUGUAGCGGUGAAAUGCGUAGAUAUCACGAGGAACACCGGUGGCGAAGGCGGCAUACUGGACCAUAACUGACGUUGAGGCUCGAAAGCGUGGGGAGCGAACAGGAUUAGAUACCCUGGUAGUC